rnacentral:rRNA from 1 species
UACGAAGGGGGCUAGCGUUGCUCGGAAUCACUGGGCGUAAAGCGCACGUAGGCGGAUUGUUAAGUCAGGGGUGAAAUCCUGGAGCUCAACUCCAGAACUGCCCUCGAUACUGGCGAUCUUGAGUCCGGGAGAGGUGAGUGGAACUCCGAGUGUAGAGGUGAAAUUCGUAGAUAUUCGGAAGAACACCAGUGGCGAGGGCGGCUCACUGGCCCGGUACUGACGCUGAGGUGCGAAAGCGUGGGGAGCAAACAGG